AUGUCCCGGGGGGAGCAGCGCUGCCGUGCCCCCAGCAGCACCGGAGGCACCGUGCGCGGGGCGCUGCGGCAGGGUCGGUACCCGCGGGGGGCCUGCCCGCAGGGGGACCCCGCAGCGCUGCUGUGUGGGCGCAGCCCGGGGGUGUGCGGGCAGGGGGUGCACGAACAUCCCCCCCUGCUCCCUGCUCUUGGCCACCUCCGGGGACAUGUGGCCAGCAGCGGGGACAGGAUUUGCUUUCGCAGUCACAACAGAGGCGCUGGCCGAGAGCUCCCCGCUGCAGAGCCUGGAGGAGCUGGCGGGGAGGGGGCCAGGCCCACCCGGACCCCCAGGCAGCGGCUCCUGCACCCCCAGCGAGGGGCACGGGGCAGAGCUGGGGGGGAGGGGGCCCACUCUCAUUCUGGGAGGUGCUCGCUCACAGGUGGGGCACGGCAUGGUGUGGGGGGCACAGCGUGGUACCGUGCAGCAGGGCAGGGCACUGAGUGGUGUUGCCAUGGCAGAUGGUGGCAUGGUGCGGCAUGGCACGUUGUGGCACGGCAUGGCACAUUGCAGCAUGGCAUGGCUCGGCAUUGCACAGCACAUUGUGGCACGGCAUGGCACAGCGUGGCACGUUGCAGCAUGGCACGGCAUGGCACGCCACGGCACAGCAUGGCAUGUUGCGGCACGGCAUGGCACGGCAUGGCACGUUGUAGCAUGGCGUGGCACGUUGCAACAUGGCACGGCAUGGCAUGCCAUGGCACGGCAUGGCACGUUGCGGCACGGCAUGGCACGGCAUGGCACGUUGCAGCAUGGCGUGGCACGUUGCGGCACAGCGUGGCACGUGGAGGCACGGCAUGGUGCGGCACAUUGCAGCACGGCACGGCAUGGCACGGCAGAGCCAAGCACAACGCCCUCCGCAGCGGCACAAGCCGCACAUCCCCGCGCCAGCUGGCAGCGGGGCUCGUUGUCACCCCGGGGUGCGCUCUGCUCCCUGCAGUGGCUGCGGGGUCACCUCUGGGGGCUCUGGUCCCUGGGGGGCAGGGGGACGCCCUUUGGGGGGGUCUCCGCUGCGUGGGGCAUCCUUAUGGGGUCCAGUCCCCAGGGGCACCCCUGCAGGGUCGGGUCACAAAGGGGCAGCCAUUGGGGGUCAGUCUCUGGGGGUCUCCUUGUGGGGUCUGGCCCCUGAUUUUGCUGUUCCCCCAUCUGAUGUGCCUUACGGUGACGCUGCGUGCUCUCGCCAGCUGGAGCAUGGGUCACAGCCUGAGGGACGUCACUGCCCUGACACCGACACCGACACCGUGCUGGUCCCCACCGGAGGCUGCCUGUGGCACACGGGGGGCCGUGGGGCCGGGCACCCUGAGCAGUGGGGGCCGGAGUCCCUCUGCAGCAGGUGGGUGUGUGGCCGGUGGCAUCCUUCUUUUGGGGGAAACUGCCCCAAAUCCGCCGCUCUGUGCCCUGCGGUGGCUCUAG
rnacentral:lncRNA from 1 species